rnacentral:rRNA from 1 species
UACGGAGGGAGCUAGCGUUGUUCGGAAUUACUGGGCGUAAAGCGCACGUAGGCGGCUUUGUAAGUUAGAGGUGAAAGCCCGGAGCUCAACUCCGGAAUUGCCUUUAAGACUGCAUCGCUUGAAUCCAGGAGAGGUGAGUGGAAUUCCGAGUGUAGAGGUGAAAUUCGUAGAUAUUCGGAAGAACACCAGUGGCGAAGGCGGCUCACUGGCCCGGUACUGACGCUGAGGCA